rnacentral:rRNA from 1 species
GAGUUUGAUCAUGGCUCAGAUUGAACGCUGGCGGCAGGCCUAACACAUGCAAGUCGAGCGGAUGACGGGAGCUUGCUCCUUGAUUCAGCGGCGGACGGGUGAGUAAUGCCUAGGAAUCUGCCUGGUAGUGGGGGACAACGUUUCGAAAGGAACGCUAAUACCGCAUACGUCCUACGGGAGAAAGCAGGGGACCUUCGGGCCUUGCGCUAUCAGAUGAGCCUAGGUCGGAUUAGCUAGUUGGUGGGGUAAUGGCUCACCAAGGCGACGAUCCGUAACUGGUCUGAGAGGAUGAUCAGUCACACUGGAACUGAGACACGGUCCAGACUCCGUAC